rnacentral:rRNA from 1 species
GAACGAUGAAACCUUCUGUGAUCCUUCGGGUGAACUAUUGGCGGAUUAGUGGCGAACGGGUGAGUAACACGUGAGUAACCUGCCCCAAACUCUGGGAUAGCCUCGUGAAAACGGGAUUAAUACCGGAUAUUCUUCUUUGAAGGCAUCUUCGAAGAUGGAAAGUUUUUCGGUUUGGGAUGGACUCGCGGAUUAUCAGCUAGUUGGUGAGGUAAUGGCUCACCAAGGCUAUGACGAUUAUCGGGCCUGAGAGGGUGAACCGACACAUUGGGACUGAGACACGGCCCAGACUCCUACGGGAGGCAGCAGUGGGGAAUAUUGCACAAUGGGCGCAAGCCUGAUGCAGCGACGCCGCGUGAGGGAUGAAGGUUCUAGGAUCGUAAACCUCUGUCGUAAACUAGUAAAAUGAACAGUUUACAAGAAAGCACCGGCUAACUACGUGCCAGCAGCCGCGGUAAUACGUAGGGUGCAAGCGUUAUCCGGAAUUAUUGGGCGUAAAGAGCUUGUAGGUGGCGUACUGCGUCUGGUGUGAAAUCUCCCGGCUUAACCGGGAGCUUGCAUCGGGUACGGGUAUGCUAGAGUGUUGUAGGGGAGACUGGAAUUCCACGUGUAGCGGUGAAAUGCGCAGAUAUGUGGAGGAACACCAAUGGCGAAGGCAGGUCUCUGGGCAAUUACUGACACUGAGAAGCGAAAGUGUGGGGAGCGAACAGGAUUAGAUACCCUGGUAGUCCACACCGUAAACGUUGGGAACUAGACAUGGGCCUCAUUCAUCGAGGUCCGUGUCGCAGCUAACGCAUUAAGUUCCCCGCCUGGGGAGUACGGCCGCAAGGCUAAAACUCAAAGAAAUUGACGGGGGUCCGCACAAGCAGCGGAGCAUGCGGAUUAAUUCGAUGCAACGCGAAGAACCUUACCAAGGCUUGACAUAUAGUGGAAAGCUCCUAGAGAUAGGAGCCCUCUUUAUGACUGCUAUACAGGUGGUGCAUGGUUGUCGUCAGCUCGUGUCGUGAGAUGUUGGGUUAAGUCCCGCAACGAGCGCAACCCUUGUCCUGUGUUACCAUCAUUUAGUUGGGGACUCACAGGAGACUGCCGGUGUUAAACCGGAGGAAGGUGGGGAUGACGUCAAAUCAUCAUGCCCCUUACGUCUUGGGCUUCACGCAUGCUACAAUGGCUGGUACAAAGCGCUGCAAUACCGCAAGGUGGAGCGAAUCGCAUAAAACCAGUCUCAGUUCGGAUUGGGGUCUGCAACUCGACCCCAUGAAGUUGGAGUUGCUAGUAAUCGUAGAUCAGCAACGCUACGGUGAAUACGUUCCCGGAC